rnacentral:lncRNA from 1 species
AUAAAAGUUGUUCUUUCGUUCCAUACAGCCGCCAUAUAUAUAGGCAAACUAAAAAACCCUAAUCUAAUGAAGGAAAUAACGAAAACAAAGGAAACCCUAAUGUAAAGAAGGAAAUAACGAAAACAAAGGAAACAAAUAAACUUGCUCAGCAAGUUUUGACAACUCGGGCGAGAACGCCAGCCUGGAAGACGCCCCUCUGGAAACGCCAG